rnacentral:lncRNA from 1 species
GUUGUUUUCAGUAUAAUCUCAUUGUCUUUAAUGAAAAUGCAACAAGGACCAUGAUAUGGUUUGGCUCUGUGUCUCCACCCAAAUCUCAUGUUGAAUUGUAAUCCUUGGUGUUGGGGUAGGGACCUGGUGGGAGGUGGUUGGAUCAUGGUGGGGGGGUUCCCCACUUGCUGUUCUCGUGAUAGUGGAUUAUCAUGAGAUCUGGUUGUUUAAAAGUGUGUAGCACUUCCCUUUGCUCUAUCACUCUCUCCUGCUGCCACGUGAAGAAGAUAUUUGCUUCCCCUUUGCCUUCCACCAUGAUUGUAAGUUUCCUGAGGCCUCCCAUUCAUGCUUCCUGUUAAGCCUGCAGAACCGCUUGGGUCCCAGCUCCAAAAUGUCUCAUUAUCUGUAUUUGAAUAUCCCCAAAUUUGAAAAAUUCAAAAUCUGAAACACUUCUGAUCCCAAGCAUUUCAGACUCCUAAGAGUUAAUACGAAGUAGAAAGAGAAGUUGGAGUUAAGCAGCUCGUUCCAGUUCUGAUUUUGCCAUUUCCUGUCUGAGUGACCUGACUUCCCUCUCUGCCUCCAGCCAUGACUGUAAGUUUCCUGAGGCCCUCACCAGAAGCCGAGCAGAUGUUGGUGCCAUGCUUAUACAGCCUGAAGAACUGUGAGCUGAUUAAAUUUAUUUUCUUUAUAAAUUA